rnacentral:lncRNA from 1 species
CUAUUAAAGAGAUGCAUAAGUGAGCAAAUCUUCUUGCGCCAAAAAGAAUUUCAUGUCCUGCUCUCCUAAACCUAUCAUAGCCCUGAUACCAUCAUUUGCGGUAUCCAUGAGGUUAACGCAAUCAACCAUCGGUGUGUCCACAAGCACAGCAUUCAUCGGCUUUCCCCACCCGAAAUCCAGCACAUCAUACAGUGGGAAAUUACACAUGCUGCUAAUACCAUAGAGCCUGUGUUUUUUACUCAACUCACGUAUUUUUGUUUCCACUUGAUGCCCUUCCAGGCUCUUGAUUCCAUUUAGCUGCCUCUUCUCUUCCCGCAUUCGUCCUACCAACGUUCUGAACUUUGUCUCACUCUCCGUGCUUGUUAGAAUGUAGUUUGGAAUCACGAAAUUCCCUACNGAGCGGAUCAAGCAGAGGUCUCACGUUAACACUCCGGAUAAAACCUGAACCUUCACGUGUUCCUGAAUUUGUUCUGGCUACGGCUGCUACAAUGCAUCUGUAAAUGAGUGCUGUCAGAAGCUCAUUUCGGGUGUAUUUUUGAUCUUCUACUACUCCGUCUACUUUGUCUUCAUUUUCCACUGCUGCCUUGAGUUUUGCUAGCUUUUUGUUGGGAAACACGAUCGCCUUAGUGGUCCAAUUCUUAUCUGGAUAUGACACAAUUGGGAUUGAAUCUCUGUCAUAUGACGGAGGCAGCAGCUCAUACACGAAUCGUGGACAUAGAUGUAAUGAUUUCUGGUGAUCACCUGAGUUGAAUGACAAAGAGGCCCAAUACCUUAGGAAUGAGCAAAGAGUAAGAGCAUCUCCAAGAAGAUGACUAAGACUAACUGCUAGAGCAAUUCCUCCACAAGUGCAAUGAUUUACUUGAACAUGCAUUACAGUACCGCCAUAAAGAUCAGACAACUGAUUCCAAAUUGUUCGCGGUGGAAAGAGAUGGCCUAAACCUUCUUCUUCUUCCUUUACAGGAGGUUUUUCCAGAACCUCUGACAACUUACAUUCGAUUUGGGCAUCAACAAAAUGAACGCCUUGAUCGUUACAAUCAACGUAGGAUCCAGAACAUAGCCUACCAGCAAAAGGGUAGUACUUGGAAAGUGUCUCGGAUAAAGACUUUUUGAGUACAUCUGACUUGGACACAUUAUCAGGGAUUGCUUUUGAACUGUGAUUAGAGUUGAUGGGAUAAAAGAAAACCAUGGGAAUACUAAAAUCUGGAAUCAUGCGAUCAUGUAAAGGAAUGUUGUAUUGUUUGAGCUUUGAGGGAGUUGGAGAAGCUGGUCUGAUGUUGCUGCUUGAUCUCGAUAUCACAUGCAGCUGCCUUCUAAAGAUCGAUGACCGAAUCAAUCCUCUCAAUGCCAUUUAUGUUGACUUCCUAGAUAAAACUUGAUGCUUUCUGCUUCAAAUUGCCAGGUUCAAAUUGGUGAAUUUAUAUAUACUAAUUGAAUUUAAGAGGUGGAUUAGGCUUCAUAUGUUGCUGUUUAAAUUGCUAUAAGGUGAGCAUAUAUAUAGCCUAAUAUUGCAUGAAAGGGCGAGAAUCAAGCACAGAUAUAAGGAACCUGAAGUUCAAUUAAUGUUUAAAUCUUGUUUUGUUUUUGAGUUAAGAUUUGAGCCGAGGAAAACGUGUUUAGAUUUCAAGGAUACAAUUUUCAAUAUAUGUUACUUAAAUGACAUGAAACACGGCAACAUAAAAAAUUGGCUUGGCUGAAUGUAAAUUGUGAUGCUAAGAGUGAUUAAUGUAGUCAAAUUUAGUAUCAACAAAAUUCGAGGUAUCUGACCGGAAUUAAGAUGAUGUUCGCUUCUUGAAACUUGUAUCAGAGAGUAAUGCCGUAAUGGUGAUGAUGAAAAUAAGGGUCAUUGAGAUCAGGAUUUCCGUUUUUCCUUGUACUCUCAACUCGUGUCACUCUAAUUUGCCUAUGUAUCCCUAGAUUUUUAGGGAUCAGGCCAUACAUUUGUUCAUGGAUAUCCAACAGCUUCAGAAGUAAAAUUAGAGGUAUGGGUGGUUUAGAGGUUUGACCAUUCCAAUCCGGUAAUGCUAAUGUUUGAUAGUUAGCGCAUUGAAAUGGAGGUUUUGGCUCAAAAAGCUACUUUUCAAAAAGCUACUGGAGGAGUUUUUUGGGUUAGAGGUUUUGAUAUAUGUCACAAAAAGCUAAUCAAACAGUUAUUUACCAAACAGUUCUACAAUAAACCGCUAAUCCAAUCCGCUAGUCAAAACAUCUAUUUCAGUCAGUCAGUCAAAACAUCUAAUUCAAUCCGCUAAGUCAUAAAGGCCUAGGGCCCGUUUACAAUCUACGAAUAUCACGGAUACGGCACUACUGCAUAAGUCUCCUAAUUUAACGGACGUACGAAUCUAUGACUUACCCCAAAUGUUAAAGACCCAUCUUUACCCCCGAUGAGGAUAAUCCACAAGAAAACAAGGUAACUGAUCUAAAAUCAGGUGUAGAGUAAGGUUUUUAAGUAGAUGCUCUCAAUCAAGCCCAUAAAUAUGAUUUUCAAUAUGACUGUUAGAGUCUUCCAUGCUAUUUUCUGUGAAUGAAUAAAUAAAUUAUCAUAAUGACGCCUGCAAUAAAGAAUCUGACCUGAUUAGGCUUAGUACAAGCAAAUCAGGCGAGUCUCAAAUUUUAGAUGUAAUAGUUGCAAUACUGGAAAUCGAAAUAGUUAGCUUUAAAUUCUAAGAGAUGAUCAAGAGAGCACUGCUAGCCUUUACAAGAUCUGAAAUAGAUUGGUAGUUGAGAUAUGAAGAUUGAGCUCUGAGAAUAUCUGUAUAAAAUAUAUAAAUUAUUGUUGGAACGAUCUCACCAAGGAAGCAACGCAUAUGAUUUGAACGUUUUUGGCAGUGAAGAACUGAUUUAUUUUGUUUGUUUAUUCAUUGUUGACUAUGAGUUGGUUUUUUAUUUGGCACGUUGAUGGGAUGAACGUUAAAUUUAACUCAAUGAGCUUAAGGGGCUCCAACCAACUUCUGUUAAUCUGUCCAUGACAAGUUAAUUACAAUGGUGCAAGUGUAAACACAUAUUUAACGGCCAUAUUGUUGGAGAAGCUAAUAUGAUGAUGGCUUUUGAUCUCGAGAUCACAUGAAGCUGUCUUGGGGCAGUUGGAUGCCAUGCGGGUAUGAGAAUCGAGAAUGAGGCGUAUGAUAAUGGCGAGUAUGGGAAUGAAUUUGUAAGGAAUGAUUAAUCCAUUAAGUGAGAUUGAGAUUCUCAUUCUGUCCAAAAAAUUAUUAAUCCAAACAAUAAUAUGAGUUCGAGGUUCGAAUUUCCGUUUACCGGGCUCAUUAUCCAUAUACCAAACGCCUCCUAGUAUAUUCAGAACAGGUGAUCAUGGGAAUUGAAAUAAUUGGUUAAUCUAAUUGAGAAUUUCUAAAAUAAAAAAAUCAAUAAAUCGGGAUUUUUUUCAUCAAAUCGCACUAUAUCGAUAAACAUUAUUCAGAAAUUUGACAAGCUCAUGGAAAAUUGAAAACAUUAUUCAGAAACUUGACAAGUUUUUAGAGAGAAGCAUAAGUGAGCAACUCUUUGUGCGACAGAAAAAAUUUCAUGUCCUGCUCUCCUAAACCUAUCAUAGCCCUGAUACCAUCAUUUGCGGUAUCCAUGAGAGUAAUGUUAUCAACCAACGGUGUGUCCACAAGCGUAGCAUUGAUCGGCUUUCCCCACCCGAAAUCCAUCACAUCAUACAGUGGGAAAUUACAAAUGCUGCUAAUAGCAUAGAACCUGUAGUUUUUUUUACUCAACUCAUUUAACU